rnacentral:hammerhead_ribozyme from 1 species
AUCCAGUUGACGAGUCCCACGUAGGGCGAAAUGCGCAUCUUGGAU